GAGAGCCUUUACUGCUCCUGCUGCUCCUGCCUGGCCUUCCCUCUAGUUCUUGGUUCAGCUGAUGGUGUUCCUGAUCAGCUUCAUAAGCUCCGUGUUCUGUGGCCACCUGGGCAAGCUGGAGCUGGACGCAGUCACGCUGGCGAUCGCGGUUAUCAAUGUCACUGGUGUCUCAGUGGGAUUCGGCUUAUCUUCUGCUUGUGACACCCUCAUCUCCCAGACGUACGGGAGCCAGAACCUGAAGCACGUGGGUGUGAUCCUGCAGCGGAGUGCGCUCAUCCUGCUCCUCUGCUGCUUCCCCUGCUGGGCGCUGUUUCUCAACACCCAGCAUAUCCUGCUGCUCUUCAGGCAGGACCCAGAUGUGUCCAGGCUCACCCAGACCUACGUCACGAUCUUCAUUCCAGCUCUUCCUGCAACCUUUCUUUAUAUGUUACAAGUUAAAUAUUUGCUCAACCAGGGAAUUGUACUGCCCCAGAUCGUAACUGGAGUUGCAGCCAACCUUGUCAAUGCCCUCGCCAACUAUCUGUUUCUCCAUCAACUGCAUCUUGGGGUGAU
rnacentral:sRNA from 1 species